rnacentral:rRNA from 1 species
ACUCCUACGGGAGGCAGCAGUGGGGAAUAUUGCACAAUGGGCGCAAGCCUGAUGCAGCCAUGCCGCGUGUAUGAAGAAGGCCUUCGGGUUGUAAAGUACUUUCAGCAGUGAGGAAGGCGGAGUCGUUAAUAGCGGCCUCGUUUGACGUUAGCUGCAGAAGAAGCACCGGCUAACUCCGUGCCAGCAGCCGCGGUAAUACGGAGGGUGCGAGCGUUAAUCGGAAUUACUGGGCGUAAAGCGCAUGCAGGUGGUUUGUUAAGUCAGAUGUGAAAGCCCGGGGCUCAACCUCGGAAUUGCAUUUGAAACUGGCAGACUAGAGUACUGUAGAGGGGGGUAGAAUUUCAGGUGUAGCGGUGAAAUGCGUAGAGAUCUGAAGGAAUACCGGUGGCGAAGGCGGCCCCCUGGACAGAUACUGACACUCAGAUGCGAAAGCGUGGGGAGCAAACAGGAUUAGAUACCCUGGUAGGAUAGCG